rnacentral:rRNA from 1 species
CAGGCUGUAGCAAUACAGUGCUGGCGACCGGCGCACGGGUGCGUAACGCGUAUGCAACUUGCCUUUAACUGGAGGAUACCCCAAAGAAAUUUGGAAUAAUACUCCAUAGUAUCACGAGAUCUCAUGUUUUUUGUGAUUAAAGCUCCGGCGGUUAAAGAUAGGCAUGCGUCUGAUUAGCUAGUUGGUGAGGUAACGGCUCACCAAGGCGACGAUUAGUAGGGGGCCUGAGAGGGUGAACCCCCACACUGGUACUGAGACACGGACCAGACUCC